GUCUACAUGGAAAGGUUAAGGCAGGGUGCUAGGCAACCACGGGGUCAGGCGUGCUGAGAUGAAGAACUCAGGAGAGCGGGCAGAGACUUGGAGCAGGUUACCAGGACAGGAACGAGACCAGAAACCAGGAAAUCAGUCUGAGGAACAAUGCUGGAGAGUCGGGCAAGAGUGGGCAGGUGCAUCACGUUGAGCUGACGAGCUGAGGGAAGACCCGGUGUCAGCUGACUGUGACAGGAAGCCUGGAAGGAAACAGGUCAAAACAACAAACUCCAUUAUUUGUAAUUAACUCAAUGUCCUUUAUGUUGAAUUUAAUAAGCCUAAAUGUUCUCCAUGUGCCGUGUCUCCUCCAACUGGAGAAAUGGAGAAGUUCUGGAGGUGAACCAAGAACCUGUUGGCAGGAGAAACUCCAGGCUGAGUCCUCUGAGGAACCUUACGUGAGACAGAGGGAAAUUAAAGGUGUUUCGGGAGAGAUGGGCCCAACGGAGAGGAAAACCAUCAACAAAACCUCUGGUAGCGGUUUUGCUUGAGAAGGAAAACCAGAACACCUGAGGGGGAUUAGCACCUCUUCCCGGCAUAACCUGCAAGUGUUUUUAAAACUCUCACGCCUGCGGAAGUAAAUCCGGAGAUUUCUUCACCUUAAAUCUGACUUUAUUCUUGCUUUAUUCUGAAGUCUUUGGUGAAAAUCUUUUAUUUUUCUGAGAGACUUGAGCUCCGGGCCUCAGCCAUCCCUACCUUGGAAUUCCACCUUGCUGCUACAGAUCACGCUUGCAGGCCAUUGACCUUUCGCUUGACCCGGGUCAUCUGAGGAUCAGACCUCAUCCAAGAGAUAAGCCAUGCCACGGCCUUCAUCAGCACCACUGUUAGAAUUGGACCUAUUCCUCUUCCUUCAGGCAGGAUCUUUAGAAGCCAUCUGAGGAUGAGAAAGAAGAGCUGCGGCGAUGCGUUCGGGUGCAGCUCCGGCUCGGCGUACACCUCUCCGCAUCUCCAUUCUCUGGACAGUUCCAUUGGUGCUCCUGUGCCUCCGACCCUCAGGAUAACGAAUACCCUCCGCAAUGCCAAAUCCAACACCUCAUUAUAUUUCUUGUCUUCUUUACACAUUGUUGGAUCUUUAAAACAGCCUUUAUCCACGAUUCUAUACCCUGUGUGCACCUAUAGAAGACUCAGGUCUAAUGAAGCUCUUUGGUUCUCUGAAAGCUACUUAUCCUGCAGCAAAUUAGCCUCCGGUCUGAUGCCCGAAUGA
rnacentral:lncRNA from 1 species